rnacentral:lncRNA from 1 species
CCCAUGACCAAUCUCUCAUGCACAAACACUAAUUUCAGAUCUUAAAUCUAAAUUUUUAGAUCUAAAUUCUUUGCAUGAAAAGUAAGUUUUGAUCUUGAAAUAAAUUUUUAGAUCAUACAUUACAGACAUAUAUCAUAUACUUGAAUAAAGUUCAGGUCAUAGAAACUAAUUUCAACCCUAAACAUGCUUUCAUAUAUCAUAU